CUUUCGGGAAUGGAAAUGAAAUGAAAGUGGCGAACGGGUGAGUAACACGUGAGCAACCUACCUUACACAGGGGGAUAGCCGUUGGAAACGACGAUUAAUACCGCAUGAGACCACAGAAUCGCAUGAUAUAGGGGUCAAAGAUUUAUCGGUGUAAGAAGGGCUCGCGUCUGAUUAGCUAGUUGGAAGGGUAAAGGCCUACCAAGGCGACGAUCAGUAGCCGGUCUGAGAGGAUGAACGGCCACAUUGGAACUGAGACACGGUCCAAACUCCUACGGGAGGCAGCAGUGGGGAAU
rnacentral:rRNA from 1 species